rnacentral:rRNA from 1 species
AGAGUUUGAUCCUGGCUCAGGAUGAACGCUGGCGGCGUGUCUUAGGCAUGCAAGUCGAACGCAUCACUUCGGUGAUGAGUGGCAGACGGGUGAGUAUGACAGUGGUAAUUUACCCUGAGGUUUUGAAUAACUUUUCGAAAGAGAAGCUAAUACAAAAUAGUCAAGGGGGGACAUAAGUUAUUUCCCUUGUAAAGAUUUAUCGCCUCGGGAGAAGCCUUUGGCCUAUCAGCUUGUUGGUGAGGUAAUAGCUCACCAAGGCUAUGACGGGUAGCGGGUGUGAGAGCAUGACCCGCCUCACUGGAACUGAAACACUAUCCAGACUCCUACGGGAGGCUGCAGUCGAGAAUCUUCCCCAAUGCGCGAAAGCGUGAGGGAGCGACGCCGCGUGACCGAAGAAGCCCUUCGGGGUGUAAAGGUCUUUUCUCUGGGAAAAAUUAGCGAUGGUACCAGAGGAAUAAGAGGCUGCUAACUUCGUGCCAGCAGCAGCGGUAAUACGAAGGCCUCAAGCGUUAUCCGGAAUUAUUGGGCGUAAAGCGUUAAAAGGCGGUUUAGAAAGUUGGAUGUAAAAUCUCUAAGCUCAACUUAGAGCCUAUAUCCAAAACUUCUAGACUUUGAGGACGGGAGAGGUAAGCGGAAUGGCCGGUGUAGCAGUAAAAUGCGUUAAUAUCGGCUAGAACACCAAUUGCGAAGGCAGCUUACUGGAACGUUCCUGACGCUAAAUAACGAAAGCGUGGGUAGCGAAUGGGAUUAGAUACCCCAGUAGUCCACGCCGUAAACGAUGGAUACUAGGUAUUGGGAGCUCGACCCUCUCAGUAUCGUUCUUCUAGCUAACGCGUUAAGUAUCCCGCCUGGGGAGUACGGCCGCAAGGCUAAAACUCAAAGGAAUUGACGGGGACCCGCACAAGCGGUGGAGCAUGUGGUUUAAUUCGACGAUAAGCGAGGAACCUUACCAGGGCUUGAUAUCCUGCGAAUCUCUCAGAAACGAGAGAGUGCCUUUUGGAACGCAGUGACAGGUGCUGCAUGGUUGUCGUCAGCUCGUGUCGUGAGAUGUACGGUUAAGUCCGAAAACGAGCGCAACCCCUACCCUAUGUUAAAUAUUCAUAGGGAACUGCCUUGGAUAACGAGGAGGAAGGUGGGGAUGACGUCAAAUCAGCAUGGCCCUUACGCCCUGGGCUACACACGUGCUACAAUGGGUAAUAACAAAGGGAAGCCAAACCGCAAGGUGGAGCAAAUCCCAUCAAACUUACCCUCAGUUCGGAUUGAGGGCUGCAAUUCGCCCUCAUGAAGUUGGAAUCGCUAGUAACCGUGUAUCAGCCAUGGCACGGUGAAUACGUUCUCGGGUCUUGUACACACCGCCCGUCAAGCCAAGAGAGUCGGUAAUACCCGAAAUCCUCAUUUUAUGGGGCUUAAGGUAGGACCGAUGAUAGGGGCUAAGUCGUAACAAGGCA